CAGUAACUGGGUUUGCAACAGCACAGACCCCUCAGCAAAAGCAGAUACUGAAGGGGAGAAAGUGAACAUGCUGUCCAUGGCUGUGCUGGGUUUGAGAGUUCUGCUGGCAAAGAGCAUCGCCUUCAAUACACUCAUGAGUAUCAAGUUGUUCCUUUUCUGAGAUAUGAGGAAUGAAGGCAAGAGGAACAUGAAGAAGAGCAGGAAAGAGCGUGAACCAGCAGCACAAGGGGUUGAACCAGCAGUGUCAGAGCUGCUUACAGUGACCACCCAGGACACAAAGCAGCACWKUCCCCUGGAGACACUGAAUGCUGUUCACUCCUGCCUGGCCAGCUGAUUUACACUGAAGAGUUUGAAGUGCUUUUGCUGUUUCCCCUCCUCUGAGAAUUGAGGAGAGUAGGUUUAUCCUCAUCCUCCUCCUGAGUAGAUCUCCCCUUUCUCCACCAUUUGCAUAGAAAUGUCCAGCCUGCUUCAACAGCUUUGAAAACCCCAAUGCUUGCUACAGAUUUAUGGCAUUUCAAAAGCCCCUUUCCCAGGCACCUUGUGUCACUGCCUGGAGAACUGGAGUGUUACGGCUGAGGGAAUUCAAGCCCAUUAAUUGCCAUUUGUAGCUUUGGGGUUUAGAUCAUUUUAAUACCAAAAAUUGCGUGUAUUGUAGAUGAGAAGAGCUGUGUAGGAUCUGAAGUGAUUCAACUCAACCAGGUAAUAUUUAACCAGAGAAGCAUUUCUUAUUAAUCCUGUAUUUCUUCUGCUGAAUC